UUCACGAGGACUCAGAGGAGGGAUUUCAUCUGCAAACCUCUGUUUCUCAGCAACUCAUUCAACAGUCUCAAAAAAAGUUUCUUUCUUUACUUAUUGACUUACAGAACCUCAGUGUUUAUUGCUUCUUUCAUUUAUUUCUGUUUGUCAUUUUAUAUCUAUAUAUAUUAAAAUCUAACAUUAGCCUGGAAGCGUAUAGGCUACAUACACUGAGGAACAUGAAGGACUUAACAGAGAGAAAGAUGAAAACUUCAAAAUAUUCUACACCUCGGUUGUUGAUGUCCUUGUUUAUACUGUAUGUUGAAGCCCAAGAUAAAUUUCCACUUUCUGGUCAAUAAAAGAUUUUCUCCCAGAACUCCUGACCGUACUGAGAGAGUGAUGAAGAGUGAUGAAGAUCUCGGGCAGGGAGACACACAGUGGCUGCAGAGCGCCGGUGCACUUCCCGCGACCGCCUGCAGGGGGCAGCACACACCCACU